CAGUCGCCGCGGGAAUACAGAGGGUGCGAGCGUUAAUCGGAUUUACUGGGCGUAAAGCGCACGUAGGCGGACUUUUAAGUCAGGGGUGAAAUCCCGGGGCUCAACCCCGGAACUGCCUUUGAUACUGGAAGUCUUGAGUAUGGUAGAGGUGAGUGGAAUUCCGAGUGUAGAGGUGAAAUUCGUAGAUAUUCGGAGGAACACCAGUGGCGAAGGCGGCUCACUGGACCAUUACUGACGCUGAGGUGCGAAAGCGUGGGGAGCAAACAGGAUUAGAGACCCCAGUAGUCCCUGUCUCUUAUAC
rnacentral:rRNA from 1 species